UAUAAUAAUUAUCUACAUUUCUUUCUUAAGAAUGAAUUCAUUUAUAUUUUAAUUAAGCUACAUCGAAGUCUAAAGUUAUCUGACAAAUCAUUACUCGAUAUCAGCUAAAUCCUUCAACUUCGGUCACAUAGUAUCUGUAGCUUAUCUAAUAACGAUACUUAUUCGGAUUCUAUCAAAAUCGAUGACAUUAGAGCAGAUGUCAACCAUUGUCAGCAUCGAUUUCUUUUCGCGAAAGAAGAGAGAAUUUCCAUGGUAUCUAAUCAGUGGGCGUACUGCGGGUUUCCUAUUGGUGUGUGGGCGUUAUCACGAUACCCGAUUGGUCGGUCGGUUUUCUAUAGCAAACUUCCUAUGUGCAUGCGCAUGGACUUAUCCUUUGCGGAACUUUAUUAAUUUUGAGAUUACGUACACAUACGCUCGAUAACGUUUGCCGUAAUUAAGUAUGCUUCGAUUGAAAUCAAACUCCAUUUAAUAUUCCUUUAUAUAAUUCGCCACAAACAUUUGCAAAUAUAAAAUUGUAUGAUUGUUUUUACGUAAUAAAAAUCCGUGAUAAAUUUUUUACGAUUUAUUAUAUCGAAUGAUAAUUCCGAUAAUAACGAUUUAAUUUUUCGCAAAUAAUAUCUAAAAGAAUGAAUCGAAUAAGAUUUUUCGUAAAGACGUCCUUCGUUAAUUCGUAAAAUCCCGAUUACGGAUAUACUUAAGUCCCACCAUUGAUCACGACCCAACACCCCGAAGACAGAUUAAAUGAAUGUCCGCGGAAUAAUGGAACGAUAAAAAAAGGAAUGUAAAAUUAUCAUCCUCCUUGACUUCUUUCAUUCCGAAGAAAUAAGAACGAGAACCUAAUCUAGAAUGGAGGCCAGUAAUGUAGUAAUUAGGUAUAUUGACGUACACGUAUUAUUGAAAAUUCGAUCGGAACUUCAUUGAGACGAAAAGAUGGACCCAAAGUGACCUGUACGUUUAUGAGAAGAGAAAAAUUUACUCUCGAGUAGGUGUACAAAGAUCGUAAACGUCCGGAUAAGCGUGCGACUCGAUAAAACCCACGGAAAAUAAACGUAACGCGUAAUUCAUACCAACAAGCUCAUCCUGUAGGUGUAGACGAGCGUGAAAAGCUUCGAAGAAACUUUCGCAAACGUAUCUUCCUCUUUUCGAACGUUGAGAUGACCAAAUGAAGAAAAUCGAAAGAGCCGGACUUUUAUUCCUAUCUUAAUAACUAAAUAACUGAAAAAAUGUUACUAGAAAAAAAAGUGAACUUAUCGAGCUUAAAUAAAUGAAAUCAAUAAAGCUAUGUAUAGAUGUGUAAUUGAAUAAAUAAACGAAUCAUUCGUUCGUAAAAAAUAAAUAAAAUCUAUAAGCUAUGUACAGAUAUGUAUUUAAACAAAUAAAUGAAUCUUUCAUUUGAAAAAUAAUAUAUCUAAUUCGAAGUUUAGGAUCGUACUCGCUUAUUCUCGCUUAUCACCAACCGCAUCUUAUUUCGAUCCUAAAUUAAGAAAUAGUCGGCUUUUCUUCCUGCCUG